UUCGUGACUGCAGCUACCCUCUCCGGCGGCGAGAAAGCGAUCGAGAGGGAGAGGAGCAAAUUCGAAGUUGGAUGAUGUCGGCUCUAGACUCAACCCUAAUACCUGUCGGCUGUCGCGGUCUCCUCAUUCUUGGUGGAUAAAUGUCAACACAUUCGUCCCCAAUCCGCUUCCCACUCUUCCCUCGCCAUCUCCCUACCUCGUCGCCCGAUCCGAGAGUUCUGAUGUAAGACAUCCAGACUGGUUUAAAUUGCGAUGUUUAGAUUGAGAAACUGGUGUGUUGUGAUUUCUGCACUCUGCAGACUGGUUUUUGGCUAUGCUUAUCCAUCUUACAAGUGCCACAAGACCAUAGAAUUGAACAAGCCAGAGAUUGGGCAAUUGCGUUUCUGGUGCCAUUAUUAGACAAUUAAGAUUCUAGUUGCAUUAUUGACAGUCUUGGGAGCAUUUGCAGAUGCAUUCUUCUCAUGGCAGGAAGCUAUUUUGUUUCUUUUGUUAUCUUAUUCUCCUUGGUUGUUCAUAUUUCUACCAUUUCCAAUACUAUUGCUGUGUCUUUCUUGCUGAAGGUUACCAUUGUAUUAUGAAGCCAAAGCAAUUAAUUGGUUUGUGAGAGGUAAAUAAUAACACAAACACUAGUCGAGUUGUAAUUAUCAUUGUGUGCAACUUCUCAGAUUGCUUAGUUGCAUCCUGAAGUAGUUUGUUUCUGUUAUCAAUCUAAAGGUUUUG